CUUUGAUAAGCUUAUUAGGAAGCCUCAAACUCUUGAUUUGAAUGAAAGUGAAUCCCACUCACUAUCAAAGA
rnacentral:tRNA from 1 species